rnacentral:rRNA from 1 species
AAUCAACGCUGGCGGCGUGCUUAACACAUGCAAGUCGAGCGAUGAAGUUCCUUCGGGAAUGGAUUAGCGGCGGACGGGUGAGUAACACGUGGGUAACCUGCCUCAUAGAGGGGAAUAGCCUUCCGAAAGGAAGAUUAAUACCGCAUAAGAUUGUAGUAUCGCAUGAUACAGCAAUUAAAGGAGUAAUCCGCUAUGAGAUGGACCCGCGUCGCAUUAGCUAGUUGGUGAGGUAACGGCUCACCAAGGCGACGAUGCGUAGCCGACCUGAGAGGGUGAUCGGCCACAGUGGGACUGAGACACGGCCCAGACUCCUACGGGAGGCAGCAGUGGGGAAUAUUGCACAAUGGGGGAAACCCUGAUGCAGCAACGCCGCGUGAGUGAUGACGGUCUUCGGAUUGUAAAGCUCUGUCUUCAGGGACGAUAAUGACGGUACCUGAGGAGGAAGCCACGGCUAACUACGUGCCAGCCGCCGCCGUAAGAC